GCUAAGAAUAUUCCGCAAUGGACGAAAGUCUGACGGAGCGACGCCGCGUGGAUGAUGAAGGCCGGAAGGUUGUAAAAUCCUUUUAUGACUGAGGAAUAAGUGAAGUGAGAGAAACGCUUCAUGGUGACUGUAGGUCAUGAAUAAGCAACGGCUAAUUACGUGCCAGCAGCCGCGGUAACACGUAAGUUGCGAGCGUUGUUCGGAAUUAUUGGGCGUAAAGGGCAUGUAGGCGGUUCUGCAAGUCUGGUGUGAAAUACCGGGGCUCAACCCCGGAACUGCGUUGGAAACUGCAGGACUUGAGUCGCUGAGGGGCAGCCAGAAUUCCAGGUGUAGGGGUGAAAUCUGUAGAUAUCUGGAAGAAUACCAAUGGCGAAGGCAGGCUGCCAGCAGAUGACUGACGCUGAGGUGCGAAGGUGCGGGGAGCAAACAGG
rnacentral:rRNA from 1 species